rnacentral:rRNA from 1 species
CAGGUCAGCAUACUGCCGUGAAUACGUUCCCGGGCCUUGUACACACCGCCCGUCACACCAUGAGAGUUGGGAAUACCCGAAGCCUGUGAGCUAACGUUAAGAGGCAGCAGUCGAAGGUAGAAUCAAUGAUUGGGGUGAAGUCGUAACAAGGUAGC